GAGUGCCGCCCGAGAGCCGCUUCUGCGGCCCAGUGAUCGGCGGUUCCCCGGCUAUU
rnacentral:snoRNA from 19 species